AUGCACGCUGGCGGCGUGCCUAAUACAUGCAAGUCGAGCGAACAGACGAGGAGCUUGCUCCUCUGACGUUAGCGGCGGACGGGUGAGUAACACGUGGAUAACCUACCUAUAAGACUGGGAUAACUUCGGGAAACCGGAGCUAAUACCGGAUAAUAUAUUGAACCGCAUGGUUCCAUAGUGAAAGACGGUUUUGCUGUCACUUAUAGAUGGAUCCGCGCCGCAUUAGCUAGUUGGUAAGGUAACGGCUUACCAAGGCAACGAUGCGUAGCCGACCUGAGAGGGUGAUCGGCCACACUGGAACUGAGACACGGUCCAGACGCCUACGGGAGGCAGCAGAAGGGAAUCUUCCGCAAUGGGCGAAAGCCUGACGGAGCAACGCCGCGUGAGUGAUGAAGGUCUUCGGAUCGUAAAACUCUGUUAUUAGGGAAGAACAAAUGUGUAAGUAACUAUGCAAGUCUUGACGGUACCUAAUCAGAAAGCCACGGCUAACUACGUG
rnacentral:rRNA from 1 species